UACGUAGGGCGCAAGCGUUGUCCGGAAUUAUUGGGCGUAAAGAGCUCGUAGGCGGUUUGUCGCGUCUGCUGUGAAAACCUAAGGCUCAACCUUGGGCUUGCAGUGGGUACGGGCAGACUAGAGUGCGGUAGGGGUGACUGGAAUUCCUGGUGUAGCGGUGGAAUGCGCAGAUAUCAGGAGGAACACCAAUGGGCCGAAAGGCAG
rnacentral:rRNA from 1 species